UAAUACGUAGGGUGCAGGCGUUAAUCGGAAUUACUGGGCGUAAAGCGUGCGCAGGCGGUCUUUUAAGUCAGAUGUGAAAUCCCCGGGCUUAACCUGGGAACUGCGUUUGAAACUGAAAGGCUAGAGUGUGGCAGAGGGGGGUGGAAUUCCACGUGUAGCAGUGAAAUGCGUAGAGAUGUGGAGGAACACCGAUGGCGAAGGCAGCCCCCUGGGCUAACACUGACGCUCAUGCACGAAAGCGUGGGGAGCAAACAGGAUUAGAUACCCUGGUAGUCCACGCCCUAAACUAUGUCAACUGGUUGUCGGGGAAGCAAUUCCUUGGUAACGAAGCUAACGCGUGAAGUUGACCGCCUGGGGAGUACGGCCGCAAGGUUA
rnacentral:rRNA from 1 species